rnacentral:rRNA from 1 species
GCCUCUUGAUUAAACCAUAAGAGGUCCAGCCUGCCCAGUGACAUUGUUCAACGGCCGCGGUAUCCUAACCGUGCGAAGGUAGCGUAAUCACUUGUCCUUUAAAUGAAGACUAGUAUGAAUGGCCCCACGAAAGCUAUACUGUCUCCUUUUUCUAAUCAGUUAAACUAAUCUCCCCGUGAAGAAGCGGGGAUAAACAUAUAAGACGAGAAGACCCUAUGGAGCUUCAAACAACUGAAACACUUGUAUAUCCUCCCUCACCUGCCAACAUUUAACCUCACAUUUUGUUUCUAGUUUUAGGUUGGGGUGACCACGGAGAAAAAACUAACCUCCACGACGAAAGAGACAUCUCUAAACAAAAAGCUACAUCUUUAUGUAUUAACACAUUAACCUUUAUUGACCCAAUAAAUUGAUCAACGAACCAAG